CUCGUAGGUGGUUUGUCGCGUUGUCCGUGAAAACUCACAGCUUAACUGUGGGCGUGCGGGCGAUACGGGCAGACUGGAGUACUGCAGGGGAGACUGGAAUUCCUGGUGUAGCGGUGGAAUGCGCAGAUAUCAGGAGGAACACCGGUGGCGAAGGCGGGUCUCUGGGCAGUAACUGACGCUGAGGAGCGAAAGCGUGGGGAGCGAACA
rnacentral:rRNA from 1 species